rnacentral:rRNA from 1 species
CCCUUAGAUGUUCUGGGCUGCACGCGCGCUACAAUGGCACAAUCAUCGAGUUCCUAAACUGAAAAGAUAUGGUAAUCUUAUAAAAUUGUGUCGUGACGGGGAUAGAAUAUUGCAAUUAUUAUUCUUAAACGAGGAAUUCCUAGUAAGCGCGAGUCAUCAGCUCGCGUUGAUUAUGUCCCUGCCCUUUGUACACACCGCCCGUCGCUCCUACCGAUUGAAUGUUCCGGUGAACGUAUUGGACUGAUAGUUUCGCUAUCAGGAAGAUCCGUAAACCUUAUCAUUUAGAGGAAGGAGAANUCGUANCA